rnacentral:rRNA from 1 species
UCGAUUCCCUUAGUAGCGGCGAGCGAAACGGGAAGAGCCCAAACCAACAAGCUUGCUUGUUGGGGUUGUAGGACACUCUAUACGGAGUUACAAAGGACGACAUUAGACGAAUCAUCUGGAAAGAUGAAUCAAAGAAGGUAAUAAUCCUGUAGUCGAAAAUGUUGUCUCUCUUGAGUGGAUCCUGAGUACGACGGAGCACGUGAAAUUCCGUCGGAAUCUGGGAGGACCAUCUCCUAAGGCUAAAUACUCUCUAGUGACCGAUAGUGAACCAGUACCGUGAGGGAAAGGUGAAAAGCACCCCGGAAGGGGAGUGAAAUAGAACCUGAAACCGUGUGCUUACAAGUAGUCAGAGCCCGUUAAUGGGUGAUGGCGUGCCUUUUGUAGAAUGAACCGGCGAGUUACGAUUUGAUGCAAGGUUAAGCAGUAAAUGUGGAGCCGUAGCGAAAGCGAGUCUGAAUAGGGCGUUUAGUAUUUGGUCGUAGACCCGAAACCAGGUGAUCUACCCUUGGUCAGGUUGAAGUUCAGGUAACACUGAAUGGAGGACCGAACCGACUUACGUUGAAAAGUGAGCGGAUGAACUGAGGGUAGCGGAGAAAUUCCAAUCGAACCUGGAGAUAGCUGGUUCUCUCCGAAAUAGCUUUAGGGCUAGCCUCAAGUGAUGAUUAUUGGAGGUAGAGCACUGUUUGGACGAGGGGCCCCUCUCGGGUUACCGAAUUCAGACAAACUCCGAAUGCCAAUUAAUUUAACUUGGGAGUCAGAACAUGGGUGAUAAGGUCCGUGUUCGAAAGGGAAACAGCCCAGACCACCAGCUAAGGUCCCAAAAUAUAUGUUAAGUGGAAAAGGAUGUGGCGUUGCCCAGACAACUAGGAUGUUGGCUUAGAAGCAGCCAUCAUUUAAAGAGUGCGUAAUAGCUCACUAGUCGAGUGACACUGCGCCGAAAAUGUACCGGGGCUAAACAUAUUACCGAAGCUGUGGAUUGUCCUUUGGACAAUGGUAGGAGAGCGUUCUAAGGGCGUUGAAGCAUGAUCGUAAGGACAUGUGGAGCGCUUAGAAGUGAGAAUGCCGGUGUGAGUAGCGAAAGACGGGUGAGAAUCCCGUCCACCGAUUGACUAAGGUUUCCAGAGGAAGGCUCGUCCGCUCUGGGUUAGUCGGGUCCUAAGCUGAGGCCGACAGGCGUAGGCGAUGGAUAACAGGUUGAUAUUCCUGUACCACCUAUAAUCGUUUUAAUCGAUGGGGGGACGCAGUAGGAUAGGCGAAGCGUGCGAUUGGAUUGCACGUCUAAGCAGUAAGGCUGAGUAUUAGGCAAAUCCGGUACUCGUUAAGGCUGAGCUGUGAUGGGGAGAAGACAUUGUGUCUUCGAGUCGUUGAUUUCACACUGCCGAGAAAAGCCUCUAGAUAGAAAAUAGGUGCCCGUACCGCAAACCGACACAGGUAGUCAAGAUGAGAAUUCUAAGGUGAGCGAGCGAACUCUCGUUAAGGAACUCGGCAAAAUGACCCCGUAACUUCGGGAGAAGGGGUGCUCUUUAGGGUUAACGCCCAGAAGAGCCGCAGUGAAUAGGCCCAAGCGACUGUUUAUCAAAAACACAGGUCUCUGCUAAACCGUAAGGUGAUGUAU